CAGUGUGACAAUUAUGGACGAUGUGGAGCUUAUGGUAAGUGUGAUCCUUAUGAUGCUUAUGACUUUGAGUGUACGUGCCUCCCUGGCUAACAGCCCAAAUCAAUUACUGAUUGGUACCUCAGAGAUGGGUCAGGUGGAUGCAUCCAGAAGAAUCUCACAGGAAUGUGCAACAAUGGUGAAGGGUUCGUCAAGGUGGAAAACGUGAAGGUACCAGAUCCUUCAACUGCCCGUGUGGAUAACAAUUUGGAUCUGAAAGCUUGCAUGGAGCAAUGCUUGAGGAAUUGUUCCUGCACAGCCUACGCAAGUUCAGUUGUGACAAGUAAGAGUGGGUGCUUCUCAUGGUAUGGCAAUUUGCUUGAUACAAGAGCGUUCGCUGAGUGAGGACAGGAUUUAUAUGUCCGUGUGGAUGCGUUUGAGUUAGCUCAAUAUGACAAGAAGCCUAGAGGUUUUCUUUCAAAGAAAGGGAUGUUAGCCGGUUUGGUACUCUCUAUAGCUGCUGCGGUUUUCUUUGUCAUUAUGUUCUCAUUCUGGUUGAUAAAAAGGAAGAAGACGGCUAAGGGCAGACAACUCAAAUUUCCCUUCAAUAUCCCUACAAGCCUCAAUGGCUCUCUAAGUGGAAAGGAAGUUGGUGGAAGUACAACAAGUCAAUACCUACCAGUCUUCGACAUAGACAUCAUAUUAGCAGUCA